GACGAACGCUGGCGGCGUGCCUAAUACAUGCAAGUCGAACGCAGUGGGGACGGGGUAGUAACCCGUGGCUAACCUCCCAUCAGAGGGGAUAACACUUGGAAACAGGUGCUAAACCGAUACUGAUGGAUGGACCCGCGGGGCAUUAGCUAGUUGGUGAGGUAACGGCUCACCAAGGCCACGAUGCAUACGCGGCCUGAGAGGGUUAGCAGCCACACUGGGACUGAGACACGGCCCAGACUCCUACGGGAGGCAGCAGUAGGGAAUCUUUGGCAAUGGACGAAAGUCUGACCGAGAAACGCCGCGGGAGGGAAGAAGGUUUUCGGAUAGUAAAACGCUGUUGUCAGAGAAGCGGUAUCUAACGAAAAAGCCACGGCUAACUACGUGCCAGCCGCCGCGGUAAUAC
rnacentral:rRNA from 1 species